GACGAACGCUGGCGGCGUGCCUAAUACAUGCAAGUAGAACGCUGAAGCGAGGAGCUUGCUCUUCUUGGAUGAGUUGCGAACGGGUGAGUAACGCGUAGGUAACCUGCCUUGUAGCGGGGGAUAACUAUUGGAAACGAUAGCUAAUACCGCAUAACAAUGGAUGACACAUGUCAUUUAUUUGAAAGGGGCAAUUGCUCCACUACAAGAUGGACCUGCGUUGUAUUAGCUAGUAGGUGAGGUAAUGGCUCACCUAGGCGACGAUACAUAGCCGACCUGAGAGGGUGAUCGGCCACACUGGGACUGAGACACGGCCCAGACUCCUACGGGAGGCAGCAGUAGGGAAUCUUCGGCAAUGGGGGCAACCCUGACCGAGCAACGCCGCGUGAGUGAAGAAGGUUUUCGGAUCGUAAAGCUCUGUUGUAAGUCAAGAACGGGUGUGAGAGUGGAAAGUUCACACUGUGACGGUAGCUUACCCGAAAGGGACGGCUAACUACGUG
rnacentral:rRNA from 1 species